UGGGGAAUCUCGCGCAAUGGCCGAAAGGCUGACGCAGCGACGCCGCGUGGGGGAUGAAGGUCUUCGGAUUGUAAACCCCUGUUGCCCGGGACGAAUGCCGCCUUUCGAGGCGGGUGACGGUACCGGGUGAGGAAGCACCGGCUAACUCUGUGCCAGCAGCCGCGGUAAUACAGAGGGUGCGAGCGUUGUCCGGAAUCACUGGGCGUAAAGGGCGCGUAGGCGGUCUGGUAAGCGUGUGGUGAAAGCCCGGGGCUCAACCCCGGGUCGGCCAUGCGAACUGCGAGACUGGAGCCGAUCAGAGGCAGGCGGAAUUCCGGGUGUAGCGGUGGAAUGCGUAGAGAUCCGGAAGAACACCGGUGGCGAAGGCGGCCUGCUGGGAUCGAGCUGACGCUGAGGCGCGACAGCGUGGGGAGCAAACAG
rnacentral:rRNA from 1 species